rnacentral:rRNA from 1 species
UACAGCGGUCCCAAGCGUUGUUCGGAUUCACUGGGCGUAAAGGGUGCGUAGGCGGUCGGGUAAGUCUGGCGUGAAAUCUCCAAGCCUAACUUGGAAACUGCGUUGGAUACUAUCCGGCUCGAGGAAUGGAGGGGAGACUGGAAUACUUGGUGUAGCAGUGAAAUGCGUAGAUAUCAAGUGGAACACCAGUGGCGAAGGCGAGUCUCUGGACAUUUCCUGACGCUGAGGCACGAAAGCCAGGGGAGCAAACGGG